GAAGCCAUGCAUGCCCGCUCACCCGGGACGCGGCGGACGGCUCAGGACGACGGUUGCACCCCCCGCGGCGGUCCCUGCUAGCCGGACACCGCUGGCAACCCGGCGCCAAGACGUGCGCGCAAGGGCGGGCGCCCGCGGGC
rnacentral:rRNA from 1 species